ACAAGCUUUUCCAUCCUCUACCUUGCUGUAGAAGAGACUCCCUUCUUCCUACCUGCCCUGAAUAUGAUCCACAAUAAGAAUUAGGACAAAGGCUCCAAAGCAAUGGCUACAGCGAGCAAGCAAGUUGUUGCAUGCUUAAGCGAGCAUCUUGCCAGCCUGGAGCCCUUACUGGAUGAAACUCCCAGCGAGGAUGGAGAAGACCAGCAAGGAAUGGACAAAUAUAAGGAGAUAUUAUUGUUAGAGGAGAGCAACAUAUUUUCCAAUACAGACACCGCUACACGUGCUGUUAGAACAUUAUCUUUUCAGGAUAACAUUUGAGCUGCAUGGAGAGGCUGGUUAACCGACACGCAAAUCCAGAAGCAAUUUGCAAAACUUUAAGGAGU
rnacentral:lncRNA from 1 species